GAUUGUGUGGCUCAGUGGUAGAGCACUCAUCUGGCAUGUGUGAGACACUGGGUUCAAUCCUCAGCACUACA
rnacentral:tRNA from 1 species